GACGAACCGUGCGACCGUUAUUCGGAAUCACUGGGCUUAAAGCGCGUGUAGGCGGGUCGGCACGUCGGGAGCUGAAAUCCCCCGGCUCAACCGGGGAAGGGGCGCCGAUACGACCGGCCUGGAGGGACGUAGGGGGGGCUGGAACUUCCGGUGGAGCGGUGAAAUGCGUUGAGAUCGGAAGGAACGCCCGUGGCGAAAGCGAGCCCCUGGACGUCUACUGACGCUGAGACGCGAAAGCCAGGGGAGCGAACGGG
rnacentral:rRNA from 1 species